rnacentral:lncRNA from 1 species
CUGUCCGAUCGACCUAAAAUUCUGAAAGCAAGAAAAUCGCAAUUCUAUCAACAAAGGUACCUUUUCUUUUCUCAAAAAUUUAUGCUUCAAGGAUUAAUUUGCUUGCUCAAAUUCAUUAAUAUUUGCUCGUGUAUUCAUAAAUUCUGGUUUUGACUUUCGUUGACUUUACUCCUUGUAUUUUGUAUUUUGUCUUGCUUGAAGAUGGAUGUGGUAUAUAAGAUCCAUAUCAAUAAUUCUUGAAUUUGAAUUGCGUUUACUCUUUUUGGGAUUCCGUAAGUUCUAAGAUUGUUGACAGCUUAGAAAAAAAAUUAUUUGAGACUAUUUUUGAAGGUUCAAUAAGGGAUUUUUUGAAUAUGUUGGUGCUCUGAAAGUAAAUACAUGGGCGGAGGCCCGUAUUCAAUCGAUGAUUUUGAUGUGACUUUUGUAAUUUUGCUUUUGGGUUUAAGAAUUGGGUUGUUAUUAUUUGCUGCAAUGGAAAUGUUCAUCUAUUUGCAAUUAGAACCUCAGAACUGGAUUUUGGGGGUGAGUUACCGUUUUAAGUAAUGAAAGAAACCCUAGGAAAUGUAUAAUUGGUUGUUGAUCUCAUUUUAUAUUUUAUAAAUGUUACGUGUGCUGAUUGGUUGAUUCUUGAAUUUGGGAUAAAGUUAUUGCUUAUUUGGAAGUGUUUAAAUUAUAAUUUAAUCAUUGUAUUUCACCGAAUGUGUAAAGGGGGUUUUGCUGUAUGUACAUCCGGGGUUGAAACCCACCUCGGAUGACAGCCCCCUCACAAGAGGGGGCGCCUGGGCAUAAUAAAUUUGAUCGCGGGACCCCUUUUCUAAGGGGGCAACUAUCCGGGGUGUCAACCCCGAAUGUACACAUAUCAAAACUCAAAUAAAAAGGUUAUAAAGUCAUGGGUUCAACUAGCUUAGCCAAACAUGCAUUUAGUUUAUACUUUGAUAGCACCCUCAAGCAGUUGUUGAAUCCCUUGGUUUUAGCACUAAAGUAAUUAAGGUUUAUAGAUCUUGUAAUUUGAAUUAUUUUCUUAGUUCAAGGGGAUUUUGGAUUCUGGCAUUUACUUGAGCUGCUAAAGUUUGGGUGAUGCAAUUGUAGUUUUAGGAUGCCAGGAGAACUUCGGGAAUUAAUGAGACCAGUAAACAGUUGAGACUGGUCGUGAUAAACAAACGAUUGCAUCAUUCGAUAACUCAACCAAGUUACUUUAAAGAUGAAACUGCAGUAUAGGAAAUUUCUGAAUGAAAAGUUCAAUUCUCGGCAAAACAUAAAACUGUUUGAUGUAAAAUAUGGGAUUAAUGUAGGCAAGAUUAUAUAUAUUUAGAAUAAGUUAAUUUUAGUAUAACUAACUAACAUCUAUUCUUUGGCAGAUAUUUGGAUGAAAAGAUGACAACAAAGACAUUGUAAAAUAUUGUACACUAGAGGAGAAAUAAGAAGUUUAAAUUCUUCCAUUAAAACAUCUGCUUGAGACUCUUGAGCAAGAGAUACAUGUAUUUGAUAGUUUUGGAGAAUGAUCUAAACCAAUAGUCGUUAUCAAGAUAGGAAGACAUGCAGAAGAGAGAGAUAAAAUUCCAACUUUGAACUAUUCUUUGUUGUCAAGGUUGGAAGAUAUUAUAAAGGAUGUAGAAUGAAAGAUGGAAUAACUAGAAUUGCCAUUAAGGGAGAAAAGAAUGACAAGCCUUAGCCGUAAUAGCGUUUAGGCAAAAGAAGGAUUGAGAGGAGAGAAGAUAGUUGAAGAAUGAUUAGAAUAAGUAGCAUCAGCCGCUUUGGUUUAAACCAAAAAAGAAGUCCCUCAAUAAGAUUGGGGUCGAAGUAUUUAUAGAGGAGUCUCAAGACCCUAGUCCUAGAAUUUUAAACUUGUCAUUUGCCAGCAUGAUAUAGGUCCCAAGACUAAGAGCGCUGAAUAACAAACAAAUCCUCAGUACACUAUGACUAUUUAUGAAACUAAAUAAAAGAAACAGAACUAGAAAUGAAAUAUGAAUAACACCAGCAAUACUGUUGAAUUUCGAACAUCAUUCUACGUUAUUCCUCCUGAGUUUGAACUUAACCUCGUUAGAAAACCUCGAAAAUCUUUUGGAACAAAUCUUCAUGGUGCCACUUAGAUGUAAUUUCAUCUACAGAUGUACAGUCUGAAAAUAACUGAGCUUACCACUGGACCAGAUAUCUUGUAAUGUCAAUCCACAACAUAUUCAGUGUAUUCCUAGGAGAUAGAAUUCUGUGGAGGAUUUUGAUUGGAGAGAAAUUUUUCAUGUGGGAAAGUCAAGUGGAUGGAAGAGAUGAAUAAUGAGAGAAAUAAUUAGGUUGGUGAAUGGAAACACAGAUAUCAAAGAGUCACACUCUGGAAAUAAUCUUGUUUAAUUGUUUUCAGAUGAUUUGAUUUUUUACAAAUAUAAUUGUUAUGAAUAUCAUAGGACCUCAUUAAACUUUAAUCUUUGAUUAUUGAUAUGGCCCUGUUUGACCAAUGUUCUUUCGAAAAAAUACAUUCAUAAACAGUGAUUUGACAUCAGGAAAAAUACAUUCAUAAACAGUGAUUUGACAUCAAUUCAACCACACAUUCUUCAAUAAAUAAUAUUACACGCAAAUUCAAAAUUUUUCCUUAUUUUUUAACCACACGUUUUCCAUCAAAACACUGUUCAAAAAUGCAUUCUUUUGAAAAUAUUGGGGCUCAAACAAUAAAUUUAACUUUACAUUAAUAAAGAUUAUUUUCUUUAUAUAAUUAAUUGAUUUUACUUCCAGUUCAACCCUGUUGACUAAUCCAACCUUUAACCCUUUGCCUUCUCCCGUUCAUUGUCCAAGCCAGUUUUCAAAACAUUGAAAACUGGAAUGUUGUUACAGUGACUUACCGUUGAUUCAUGUAAGGGAAGUUUAUAGGUAAAACAUAUUGUUAAAUUUCAUUGACCACCAUCAUUACCACUAUCAUUUACCCACAGCUUUAGGAUGAUAAAUAAUGUUAAUUUGCAAAUUAGUUCAUUGCUAAUGCUGCUUUAUAGUUGUCUCGCUUUUCUCUUAUAAAUUAUAUCCCAACUUUUUAAUGAUCUCUUCCUCUUCAUAUUCAUUAUCAAAAUUUUCUCAGAGCUUGUAAACAAUUGAGCUGCAGUGAGAUGUACUUAUUCUGACUACACGUGAAGUUAGUUGAACCUUUAACUCAAAUCCCAAUUUUAAUUCGUUCCCUCUGAUGUUUGAACUGUCGAAUGUGACUCAGUUUUGUUGGGAUCUUAAGUUCUGCUUACUGAAUGAUGCAAUUUAAUUUGUGCAUUAAACUAUUUUUGAAGUGUCAAGUGGUUUUGCUUUUAUCACGGAAGUUCUUCCAAACCUUUCUAAAUCUCCUCUUUCUCGUUGGCUACAAAAUAAACUCUUCAUCUAUUGGCUUUGCUUAAUAUGCUGGAUCAUCUACCAGUUAGAUCCACCUUUUUAAAUGGUCACUAGCGGGAGUUGAGCCACUAAUUGUUACAGGUUUGAAUAAAAUGAGAGCUAUGUUAUUGGAUAAAAAUUCAACUGUUUAUAUAUAGAGUUAAUGAUGAAAAAAUUUCUUAAAAGAGUUAUGUUGAUCAAUCAAAAUGAUAAUUAGACCAAUCGUCGUCAUGGUGCUCUUCUUUGAAUACAAUUAUGGUAAAAAAAUAAGAGGACUAAUAAUUAUUUGGCUGAUAUUGAUAUCAGAGAAGCCUUCAUCAGAACUAUGAGCUCAAAUUGCCUGUCAUGCUGUCAAGAUUUCAACAUCCAUUUUUCUUUUUGAAACAUGACAUUUCUCUUUUGUUAACUUGGUAUAAACCAUGUAAAUCUUAGUAAUUGUCAUUAUGUAAUAUUGAAUUUGUAUCUAAGUUGGGCUCAAACAAAUAGGUUAUUUUGAAUACUAUUUUACGACUUCCUUGUCUAGUUGAUCCAUCACAAUUAUAUUUUGCAGGACAAAGAAGGUCAUUUUAUGGAUAAGAAAGAACCCUGCAAGGAGUUCUCCGAAGAUGUGACUCGUGAGUCAUUGAUUGCCAUCUCUUACCGACUACCGGAGACAGAGCGCAUCAGUGAACAGUCUCCUAAAAAAUUGGACAAUGAGAAAGUUGCCCAACCUCUCAAACACGAUGGAGACGAGAAAUAUAGGUCUAAGCUGAUGUCAAUAUCCAGCUCACAGUCACCAGACAUGAAAAUCCUACCUGUUCUUGAUGGUUAACUUAGGUGCCAGGUUUUUAUUUGUGAUGAAUACAGUGUAAAACUUGCUUAAAAAUUGUUGUGAUUUGGAUACCAAGAAAGAAACCUUUUUAGUUGCUUGCACUGUAUCCUUGAAUUAUUACCUUCUGCUUCUGAAUGCUCUUAUAAUGAAUUGUGAAUAAAUUUGAGCACUCACGAAUUGAUACUUGUAAAUGGAAAAUGCUCUAUCUUAUAAACUCCUCUGCAUUAUGAAAUUGUUAUGGCUAAAAA